GAAAUGCGAUAAGUAAUGUGAAUUGCAGAAUUCAGUGAAUCAUCGAAUCUUUGAACGCACAUUGCGCCCUCUGGUAUUCCGGGGGGCAUGCCUGUUCGAGCGUCAUUACAACCCUCAAGCUCUGCUUGGUGUUGGGCGGUACCGCGCGCGGUACGCCUCAAACGUAGUGGCGGCGCCGUUCGGCUCCUAGCGUAGUAACAACUCUCGCUAUGGGGACCGGGCGGUUGCCUGCCAGCGACCCACACUUUUAAAGGUUGACCUCGGAUCAGGUAGGGAUACCCGCUGAACUUAA
rnacentral:misc_RNA from 1 species